rnacentral:rRNA from 1 species
GUGGGAUCCCGGGGCCCCCGCNGCCCCGGGCGCACCACCGNCCCGUCUCGCCCGCCCCGUCGGGGAGGUGGAGCUUGAGCGCGCGCGAUAGGACCCGAAAGAUGGUGAACUAUGCCUGGGCAGGGC